CAGGUGGUGCAUGGUUGUCGUCAGCUCGUGUCGUGAGAUGUUGGGUUAAGUCCCGCAACGAGCGCAACCCUUGUGUUUAGUUGCAAACAGGUCAAGCUGUGCACUCUAGACAGACUGCCGUGGACAACACGGAGGAAGGUGGGGAUGACGUCAAGUCCUCAUGGCCUUUAUGACCAGGGCUACACACGUACUACAAUGGCCGAUACAAAGGGCAGCGACACUGCGAGGUGAAGCCAAUCCCGUAAAAUCGGUCUCAGUCCGGAUUGGAGUCUGCAACUCGACUCCAUGAAGUUGGAAUCGCUAGUAAUCGUGGAUCAGCAUGCCACGGUGAAUACGUUCCGGCUU
rnacentral:rRNA from 1 species